UACGGAGGGUGCAAACGUUGCUCGGAAUCAUUGGGCGUAAAGCGCACGUAGGCGGUCCAGCAAGCGGGGAGUGAAAGCCCUCGGCUUAACCGAGGAAGUGCUUUCCGAACUACUGGACUUGAAUACUGAAGAGGAUCGCGGAAUUCCCGGUGUAGAGGUGAAAUUCGUAGAUAUCGGAAGGAACACCAGUGGCGAAGGCGGCGAUCUGGGCAGAUAUUGACGCUGAGGUGCGAAAGCGUGGGGAGCAAACAGG
rnacentral:rRNA from 1 species